CCCGCCCGAGGGGGCCGCGGUCAGCGCUGCCCGGCACUGCUCCCCCCGCUUCUGGGCCACGCCAAGCGACCUGGUCCCGUUGGGAAGGCGGAGGGGGCGAGAGUGAAUGCACGAUUGGUGCCCCGCAACAGGACGAGGAGCAGUGGCCAUAAACUAAAACACUUCAACAUGAGGAAAAACUUUACGUUGAGGGUGGCAGAGCACUGAACAGGCUGCCCAGGGAGGUUGUGGGAUCUCCCUCUCUGCAGACAUUCCAAACCCGCCUGGACGCGUUCCUGUGUCAUCUGCUCGAGGUGACCCUGCCUUGGCAGGGGGGUGGACUGGAUGACCUCCAGAGGUCUCUUCCAACCCCAACAAUUCUGGAAUUCUGUGACAAAUUAAAAAAAAAGAAAAAGACAAGCACAGAAGAAAUCACAAGUCCUUCUGUCUGCAGCUCUCAAAACUAUUUGUUGGAGGAGGGUGUGAUUAUUUUUGUCUAACGGCAAGGGAAGAACAGAGUUUUGUUCAAGGUUACAGCUGGUAAGACAAAAAAAAUGUUGCAGUCGUGCUGGUGGUGACAGGAUUUCGGAAGUGUGGAAUAACCAGUGAGUGUAAAUGGAUUCAGGGUUUGACCCUGAAUAACCCACAAAAAGAAGCGAUCCAACCCUUCGCAGAUGCAAACAAAGAGAAUCCCAGAUGGAGAUGCAUGUUUUUAGGUGGCAGAAAAGAGAGGAGAAAUGUUGCAAGGACGACAGAGGAUUCGCAGGCAGCCGCCUGCCGAGCAGGCGUUGUCUUUAGAGCAAAUCCCCUGCUAGUGACUAAGUUAGAUGGGGCACGUGAGUCAACUUAAAACCUUCAUGCUGUUGCCAAAAGGAGUGGGCUGCUUUCCCGACUUCUCUGAUGGAGGAGCCAGGCACUCCUGUUUUUCCCAGGGGCUGACUGUGCUGCUCAGGGUUCCUCAGUGAGUGAUUCAGUGUACUAACCUCACAUACAACUAACUGUAUUUUUUAAUUGUCCAUUUUCUGCACAAUUAAUGAACUGAACUGAUUCACCAUAAGAUCACAGAAGUAUCAGGAGUGAGCACAGAGGAUGAAUUGAAACUGUUAGACGGGGAGGAACAGGACCAUCCCUUUGGUAACAUUGCACUCUUAAAUCAUCUCAGUAGUCUCAUCUAAAUCCUCCCUAGGAGGAUUCGUGUUACUGCCAGGAAGUCUAACACCUUGCUAUCAUUAAAAAGGUUGGUGCCUUCCUCUCCUCACCCUCAGUACUCACCAUCAUCCACCUGAGUCCUCCCAUUGCUCCAUAUGUGCCUGGUCGUGUAUACGUGUGACCCCGGGGUUAGGCAGUGAGCAAGCUAAAUCUGGAGGCUUUAAGAAAGGGUAGUUUUCUGAUUAAUCCUGCAACAGCUAACUGUGGAGUCAGGUCUGAGUGACAGGGGUUGCACAAGAGAGGAAACCAGACUCUGAGGCUGUAAACGAUGGAUAGAGCCUCGAAGCGGCAUCUGGGAAUUUGUAACAUAAGCUCAAGACAGCAGUGAGGAGUAAUGGUCUGUAUAGUGAAGGAGAAGUAAUUUUGAGGAACAAGAGUUUGCUCUGUGUUUACAUACUGUAAAUGAGAAGCAGGGGGGGGAAAAGCAAAGAUAGGCUGGUAAGGGAUAAAAAAAAAAAGAGAGUUUUCAGUUCCACAGAAACAGAAGAAGACACAGAACAGGGACACCUUGGAAUCCAGCCCAGGAAGAAAAUCAAAUGUUGAAAAAAAAGAAAAGGAGGAAAUUAUCUGCAGGUAGAGGGAAAACCAAGAAGUAUAAAAGUGAAUAUCUGCACAAACAAUAGAGAGAAACAAGUCUGCAUGAUUAUAGAGUUCUUAUUAAGAAGAACCAAUUGACCUGUCAUGUCUGUAAGAAACAAGAAUUUGAGACGUAGUGCUGAGACUGAAGAAAGUCUUGUUAGAGUGAGGAGAAGUCCUUCACAGUGGGAGAAAUGGAAAUCACACAGACUAUUCAUACACAAACACAGUAUGUAGAAGAGAGAAAUUGGGGCUAUGGGAGUGUCAGCCCCUUGCAUGGAAGGUGUGUGUCUGUGCACUGGUUGUAUGAUGUGGUAGCUGUUUUUUGUUUCUGCUGCUUCAAAUCCUCCUGAUGAAUUUUUUUGUUGUGUGGUGCUAUAAUGAACGUAAGCAUACUCCAUUGCAUUCUUACCACCAGCUCAAUUCCUCCACAUAGGAAUUCUGAAGGUAGGAAUCGAGGCAAUAACCAGAUACUUUCAAAAAGUUUCCUAGAUUUCUCUUCUCUCUUUCCAUUUCCAUUAUCUUCUUCAUUUCCUCUCUCUUCUCGAUUAUCACAUGAUAUUAUCAUAUUCAUUCUCAAUUUUGCUUCUCUGACUACAUCUCUAGAAGAAACUUUUUAUUUCUGCCCUGCUAAAAUACAGGACUUUUCAAAUGUACUUUUCAGUGAGCAUGUUGUUAUUUUUCUUGCAUAUUCCUAGGGACUGACUGUCCCUAGAACCUUCUGUAUAAUCCCUGUAAAGCAAUCAAAGAAUACAAUAUUGCUUUAAAAGCAUUUGAAACCAGUUUCAGAAACCUCUGUUCAGUUUGCCAACUGAAGAUCUCAAUUGCAGCUAUGAUUGUGGGGAUAGACAAUUUUAAUCUCAGAGAACAAACUAAUUCCUACAGGCAUUAAGAAAAGUUCUGAGGGAAAAAAAAAAUCACUAAAACAUACCCCAUGGCUGUGUUUCCAAAUAGCUGUGUCGUGGACUUAAGAAGAAAGUCCAAAAAGAAGUGUUGCUUCCUCUUUUUGUUCCCCCUGCUGGUACCUGAUGUUACUGGCCUUAUUUCUCACCCUUUCAUAACAGCACGGACUAAGUAAUACUGCAAGUCCUUUAUAAGGAUUGAUGAAGUGUCUACAUAAUGCUGCCUGUACAACAUCUUUUCUCAUUUAAAUAGUGUUUUUUAUAAAGCUGUCAUUGCUUUUACUUGAAUAUCAGAACACAGAUGCUUGCAAGUUGACUGACUGAGCACUUGAAAAUCAAAAAUGUGAGUAGUUUUCAUUGA